GACGGAGGAUGCAAGUGUUAUCCGGAAUCACUGGGCGUAAAGCGUCUGUAGGUGGUUUAAUAAGUCAACUGUUAAAUCUUGAGGCUCAACCUCAAAAUCGCAGUCGAAACUAUUAGGCUAGAGUAUAGUAGGGGUAAAGGGAAUUUCCAGUGGAGCGGUGAAAUGCGUAGAGAUUUGAAAGAACACCGAUGGCGAAGGCACUUUACUGGGCUAUUACUAACACUCAGAGACGAAAGCUAGGGUAGCAAAUGGG
rnacentral:rRNA from 1 species